GACGAACGCUGGCGGCGUGCUUAACACAUGCAAGUCGAACGAAGAGCGAUGGAAGCUUGCUUCUAUCAAUCUUAGUGGCGAACGGGUGAGUAACGCGUAAUCAACCUGCCCUUCAGAGGGGGACAACAGUUGGAAACGACUGCUAAUACCGCAUACGAUCUAAUCUCGGCAUCGAGGAUAGAUGAAAGGUGGCCUCUACAUGUAAGCUAUCACUGAAGGAGGGGAUUGCGUCUGAUUAGCUAGUUGGAGGGGUAACGGCCCACCAAGGCGAUGAUCAGUAGCCGGUCUGAGAGGAUGAACGGCCACAUUGGGACUGAGACACGGCCCAGACUCCUACGGGAGGCAGCAGUGGGGAAUCUUCCGCAAUGGACGAAAGGCUGACGGAGCAACGCCGCGUGAGUGAUGACGGCCUUCGGGUUGUAAAGCUCUGUUAAUCGGGACGAAAGGCCUUCUUGCGAAUAGUGAGAAGGAUUGACGGUACCGGAAGAGAAAGCCACGGCUAACUACGUG
rnacentral:rRNA from 1 species